rnacentral:rRNA from 1 species
UACGGAGGAUCCAAGCGUUAUCCGGAUUUAUUGGGUUUAAAGGGUGCGUAGGCGGACUUGUAAGUCAGUGGUGAAAGCCCGCAGCUCAACUGCGGAACUGCCAUUGAUACUGCUAGUCUUGAGUAUAGUUGAGGUGGGCGGAAUGUGUCAUGUAGCGGUGAAAUGCUUAGAUAUCGGGAGGAACACCUGUGGCGAAAGCGGCGCACUGGACCACUUCUGACGCUGAGGCGCGAAAGCUAGGGGAGCAAACAGG